rfam:Mycobacterium sp. NAZ190054 Contig_267, whole genome shotgun sequence.
CCGCGUCGGAAACGGCGUGGUCGGUGCCCGGGGAGAAUCUGGGAAGUCCGGUGAGAGUCCGGCACAGGCCCGCUGCGGUGGUCCGAGCCUUUCCUGGCCUACAGGAGACGGGACUCGGCCAGUCCGAAGACCGGCCUCGCGUGCACCGACCCC